UUCGAUCCGUAAGCCGGGAUCUUCAUCAGUGCUAAUAAUAUGUCAUAUUAUUAGCACUGAUGAAGAUCCCGGCUUACGGAUCGAAA